UAUAUACUUCCUCUGUCCCAAAAUUCUUGUUUUAGCUUUGUCUAAAAAUGAAUAUAUCUAAAUACUAAAACUUGACUAGANACAUUCAUAUCUAAACAAAUUUAAGACAAAAAAAUUGGGAAGGAGGGAGUAUAUG
rfam:Hordeum vulgare subsp. vulgare, WGS project CAJW01000000 data, contig: morex_contig_43078